rnacentral:rRNA from 1 species
UACGUAGGGUGCAAGCGUUGUCCGGAAUUAUUGGGCGUAAAGAGCUCGUAGGCGGUCUGUCGCGUCGGCUGUGAAAACUCGGGGCUCAACCCCGAGCCUGCAGCCGAUACGGGCAGACUAGAGUUCGGUAGGGGAGACUGGAAUUCCUGGUGUAGCGGUGAAAUGCGCAGAUAUCAGGAGGAACACCGGUGGCGAAGGCGGGUCUCUGGGCCGUAACUGACGCUGAGGAGCGAAAGCAUGGGGAGCGAACAGG